GCAUAACUGUAAACACAGAUAGCAAGCUUACUCGCAAUCCGCCAGGGAACUACAAGCACUGGCUUGAAACCCAAAGGACUUGGCGGUGCUUUAGACCCACCUAGAGGAGCCUGUUCUAGAACUGAUAACCCCCGUUUAACCUCACCCUGUUUUGUCAUACCCGCCUAUAUACCGCCGUCGUCAGCUUACCUUGUGAGAGAUUAUAAGUGAGCAAGAUUGGUACAACCCAAAACGUCAGGUCGAGGUGUAGUGUAUAGCAGGGGAAGAAAUGGGCUACAUUUACCCAUCGGUAAAUACGAAUGAUUUAUUGAAAAGUAAAACUGAAGGAGGAUUUAGCAGUAAGAAGAAAAUAGAGCG
rnacentral:rRNA from 1 species